GGGUUGUGAGGUUAAGCGACUAAGCGUACACGGUGGAUGCCCUGGCAGUCAGAGGCGAUGAAGGACGUGCUAAUCUGCGAUAAGCGUCGGUAAGGUGAUAUGAACCGUUAUAACCGGCGAUUUCCGAAUGGGGAAACCCAGUGUGUUUCGACACACUAUCAUUAACUGAAUCCAUAGGUUAAUGAGGCGAACCGGGGGAACUGAAACAUCUAAGUACCCCGAGGAAAAGAAAUCAACCGAGAUUCCCCCAGUAGCGGCGAGCGAACGGGGAGCAGCCCAGAGCCUGAAUCAGUGUGUGUGUUAGUGGAAGCGUCUGGAAAGGCGCGCGAUACAGGGUGACAGCCCCGUACACAAAAAUGCACAUGCUGUGAGCUCGAUGAGUAGGGCGGGACACGUGGUAUCCUGUCUGAAUAUGGGGGGACCAUCCUCCAAGGCUAAAUACUCCUGACUGACCGAUAGUGAACCAGUACCGUGAGGGAAAGGCGAAAAGAACCCCGGCGAGGGGAGUGAAAAAGAACCUGAAACCGUGUACGUACAAGCAGUGGGAGCACGCUUCGGCGUGUGACUGCGUACCUUUUGUAUAAUGGGUCAGCGACUUAUAUUCUGUAGCAAGGUUAACCGAAUAGGGGAGCCGAAGGGAAACCGAGUCUUAACUGGGCGUUAAGUUGCAGGGUAUAGACCCGAAACCCGGUGAUCUAGCCAUGGGCAGGUUGAAGGUUGGGUAACACUAACUGGAGGACCGAACCGACUAAUGUUGAAAAAUUAGCGGAUGACUUGUGGCUGGGGGUGAAAGGCCAAUCAAACCGGGAGAUAGCUGGUUCUCCCCGAAAGCUAUUUAGGUAGCGCCUCGUGAAUUCAUCUCCGGGGGUAGAGCACUGUUUCGGCAAGGGGGUCAUCCCGACUUACCAACCCGAUGCAAACUGCGAAUACCGGAGAAUGUUAUCACGGGAGACACACGGCGGGUGCUAACGUCCGUCGUGAAGAGGGAAACAACCCAGACCGCCAGCUAAGGUCCCAAAGUCAUGGUUAAGUGGGAAACGAUGUGGGAAGGCCCAGACAGCCAGGAUGUUGGCUUAGAAGCAGCCAUCAUUUAAAGAAAGCGUAAUAGCUCACUGGUCGAGUCGGCCUGCGCGGAAGAUGUAACGGGGCUAAACCAUGCACCGAAGCUGCGGCAGCGACGCUGAUGCGUUGUUGGGUAGGGGAGCGUUCUGUAAGCCUGUGAAGGUGUGCUGUGAGGCAUGCUGGAGGUAUCAGAAGUGCGAAUGCUGACAUAAGUAACGAUAAAGCGGGUGAAAAGCCCGCUCGCCGGAAGACCAAGGGUUCCUGUCCAACGUUAAUCGGGGCAGGGUGAGUCGACCCCUAAGGCGAGGCCGAAAGGCGUAGUCGAUGGGAAACAGGUUAAUAUUCCUGUACUUGGUGUUACUGCGAAGGGGGGACGGAGAAGGCUAUGUUGGCCGGGCGACGGUUGUCCCGGUUUAAGCGUGUAGGCUGGUUUUCCAGGCAAAUCCGGAAAAUCAAGGCUGAGGCGUGAUGACGAGGCACUACGGUGCUGAAGCAACAAAUGCCCUGCUUCCAGGAAAAGCCUCUAAGCAUCAGGUAACAUCAAAUCGUACCCCAAACCGACACAGGUGGUCAGGUAGAGAAUACCAAGGCGCUUGAGAGAACUCGGGUGAAGGAACUAGGCAAAAUGGUGCCGUAACUUCGGGAGAAGGCACGCUGAUAUGUAGGUGAGGUCCCUCGCGGAUGGAGCUGAAAUCAGUCGAAGAUACCAGCUGGCUGCAACUGUUUAUUAAAAACACAGCACUGUGCAAACACGAAAGUGGACGUAUACGGUGUGACGCCUGCCCGGUGCCGGAAGGUUAAUUGAUGGGGUUAGCGGUAACGCGAAGCUCUUGAUCGAAGCCCCGGUAAACGGCGGCCGUAACUAUAACGGUCCUAAGGUAGCGAAAUUCCUUGUCGGGUAAGUUCCGACCUGCACGAAUGGCGUAAUGAUGGCCAGGCUGUCUCCACCCGAGACUCAGUGAAAUUGAACUCGCUGUGAAGAUGCAGUGUACCCGCGGCAAGACGGAAAGACCCCGUGAACCUUUACUAUAGCUUGACACUGAACAUUGAGCCUUGAUGUGUAGGAUAGGUGGGAGGCUUUGAAGUGUGGACGCCAGUCUGCAUGGAGCCGACCUUGAAAUACCACCCUUUAAUGUUUGAUGUUCUAACGUUGACCCGUAAUCCGGGUUGCGGACAGUGUCUGGUGGGUAGUUUGACUGGGGCGGUCUCCUCCUAAAGAGUAACGGAGGAGCACGAAGGUUGGCUAAUCCUGGUCGGACAUCAGGAGGUUAGUGCAAUGGCAUAAGCCAGCUUGACUGCGAGCGUGACGGCGCGAGCAGGUGCGAAAGCAGGUCAUAGUGAUCCGGUGGUUCUGAAUGGAAGGGCCAUCGCUCAACGGAUAAAAGGUACUCCGGGGAUAACAGGCUGAUACCGCCCAAGAGUUCAUAUCGACGGCGGUGUUUGGCACCUCGAUGUCGGCUCAUCACAUCCUGGGGCUGAAGUAGGUCCCAAGGGUAUGGCUGUUCGCCAUUUAAAGUGGUACGCGAGCUGGGUUUAGAACGUCGUGAGACAGUUCGGUCCCUAUCUGCCGUGGGCGCUGGAGAACUGAGGGGGGCUGCUCCUAGUACGAGAGGACCGGAGUGGACGCAUCACUGGUGUUCGGGUUGUCAUGCCAAUGGCACUGCCCGGUAGCUAAAUGCGGAAGAGAUAAGUGCUGAAAGCAUCUAAGCACGAAACUUGCCCCGAGAUGAGUUCUCCCUGACUCCUUGAGAGUCCUGAAGGAACGUUGAAGACGACGACGUUGAUAGGCCGGGUGUGUAAGCGCAGCGAUGCGUUGAGCUAACCGGUACUAAUGAACCGUGAGGCUUAACCUUACAACGCCGAAGCUGUU
rnacentral:rRNA from 1 species